rnacentral:rRNA from 1 species
UACAGAGGGGGCAAGCGUUGUUCGGAAUUACUGGGCGUAAAGCGUGCGCAGGCGGUGCGCCAAGCUCGAUGUGAAAGCCCCGGGCUUAACCUGGGAAUUGCAUUGAGGACUGGCGUGCUCGAGUGCGGCAGAGGGGGGUGGAAUUCCACGUGUAGCAGUGAAAUGCGUAGAGAUGUGGAGGAAUACCGAUGGCGAAGGCAGCCCCCUGGGAUAACACUGACGCUCAUGCACGAAAGCGUGGGGAGCAAACAGG